rnacentral:rRNA from 1 species
AAAGCCCCCUUCGGGGGGCAAGUAGAGUGGCGCACGGGUGAGUAACACGUAGGUAAUCUACCUUCGGAUGGGGAAUAACAACCGGAAACGGUUGCUAAUACCGCAUAAUGCAGCGGCACCUAAUGGUGACAGUUGUUAAAGCGGGGGAUCGAAAGACCUCGCGUCUGAAGAGGAGCCUGCGGCGGAUUAGCUAGUUGGUAAGGUAAUGGCUUACCAAGGCGACGAUCCGUAGCCGGCCUGAGAGGGCGGUCGGCCACACUGACACUGACAUACGGGUCAGACUCCUACGGGAGGCAGCAGUCGGGAAUUUUGGGCAAUGGGCGAAAGCCUGACCCAGCAACGCCGCGUGAAGGAUGAAAUCCCUCGGGAUGUAAACUUCGCAAGAACGGGAAGAAUAAGUCGGUGCUAACACCACCGGCGAUGACGGUACCGUUUGUAAGCUCCGGCUAACUCCGUGCCAGCAGCCGCGGUAAUACGGGGGGAGCAAGCGUUGUUCGGAUUUACUGGGCGUAAAGGGCGCGUAGGCGGCCACCGCAAGUCAAUUGUGAAAUCUCCGGGCUUAACUCGGAAAGGUCAACUGAUACUGCGGGGCUAGAGUGCAGAAGGGGCAACUGGAAUUCUCGGUGUAGCGGUGAAAUGCGUAGAUAUCGAGAGGAACACCUGCGGCGAAGGCGGGUUGCUGGGCUGACACUGACGCUGAGGCGCGAAAGCUAGGGGAGCGAACGGGAUUAGAUACCCCGGUAGUCCUAGCCUUAAACGAUGAAUGCUUGGUGUCUGGGGUUUUAAAGUCCCCGGGUG